CCUACGGGUGGCAGCAGUGAGGAAUAUUGGUCAAUGGACGAGAGUCUGAACCAGCCAAGUAGCGUGAAGGAUGACUGCCCUAUGGGUUGUAAACUUCUUUUAUAUGGGAAUAAAACGUUCCACGUGUGGGAUUUUGUAUGUACCAUAUGAAGAAGGAUCGGCUAACUCCGUGCCAGCAGCCGCGGUAAUACGGAGGAUCCGAGCGUUAUCCGGAUUUAUUGGGUUUAAAGGGAGCGUAGGUGGCUUGUUAAGUCAGUUGUGAAAGUUUGCGGCUCAACCGUAAAAUUGCAGUUGAAACUGGCAGUCUUGAGUACAGUAGAGGUGAGCGGAAUUCGUGGUGUAGCGGUGAAAUGCUUAGAUAUCACGAAGAACUCCGAUUGCGAAGGCAGUUCACUGGACUGCAACUGACACUGAGGCUCGAAAGUGUGGGUAUCAAACAGGAUUAGAUACCCUAGUAGUC
rnacentral:rRNA from 1 species